rnacentral:rRNA from 1 species
AUAUUGGUCAAUAGCCUAACGGCUGAACCAGCAACUUGGAAGAAGGUAUAGCAAUAGCUAAUUGUAUUAACAUAAUAAAUAGUUUUUACAAUAUCGAGUAAUUCGAAUAAAAUUCUAGGUAGAUUUAUGAUUAUGACAUUAUCUACCUAUGUGUCUUGACCAAAAUACGUGCCAGCAGUCGCGGCAAGACGUAGAAGACUAGUGUUAUUCAUCUUUAAUAGGUUUAAAGCGUACCUAGACGGUAAUUAUAGCCUAAAUAAGGUACUUUUUUACUAGAGUUACAUGUAAGGGUGUAUUAAAGUACUGUUGAGUUUAGAGAUGAAAUUCUUUUACACCAGAUAAUUGGCACAGGUAUAGGCGAAAGCAUCACCU